UGAGUCCUGAAACAUACCCGUGUUUAAAGAUCUGGGAGGUGCAGAGGAAUUAUCAAAGGAGGCUGAGAAGGAGCAGCCAGUGAGGUGUGUAGAAAAACAAGAUAAGCAGAAAGAAAAGCAAGAGAUAUGGAACUGAACUUCCCUUUGGCAAAAAAUUUAGAAAAUGAUAAUUAGUCUCUAGACCCCUUCGUGGAUGGUAUCAGAUGAUUUCAGUCCAACCUUCCAUUGCAUUCUCUGACUGAGCCAACACAGCUGGAUUCUCAGCCAACUAUGAAGUUUAAAUUGACUCCGCUUUCUGUCUCUCUGAAGAUAACGUUAAGCUGCAGCUCCGUAUCUGUGAAAACCCAUUUCACAGCAUCUGCAUCCCUGGAUUGCUAAAUACCCUUGUCUAGUUACCCAAAUAUUAAUGGAUCCCAUGGAAUAAGGUGGCAUGAUUUAGGCACAAGCAAUUACCAAAGGAUUUUGAAAAGCAGUAACUCCAAAUUAUCUUGUAAAGUUGAGAAUAAUCUGAGAAGAGCUAUUGUAAGAUUGGGAAUCAAGUAACAAAAUAAAGAUAUGAACCAUC
rnacentral:sRNA from 1 species